GGCAGCCAGAGAAGACGGGAUGGCGGAGGACCAACGGGGUUACACGGUGGUAGAGGCAGGAUCCGAAGCUGGAGAAACCAUUCAAGGUCCUUGGGAAACAAAAAUGCUUAAAAAUAAACUUAAGUCGCUCAGUUCACAGAGGGAUACACACAACACCUCAAGAAUAAAGGCAUCAUUAUUUCCAUUUUGUAAAUGAGAGACUACAGCUCAGAAAGUUGUAUGAUAAUCCUUGGCUGUCUAUGUAUUCUGAAGAUUGAACAUUGAAAAGCAAGAAGUUGAAUAUUUAUAGCAAGGAGAGAGAUGGGACCUGCUACACAUUGGAAGUCUCGGGUAGGUGCUUGGCAUUCCAGGGAAAAGCUUUGCACUUGGAGAUGAGGUAUGUUAUGUGCACCGUGACAUAUGCCUGAGGAUCUCCACCUGCUACACAGUAGGAUCUGCUACAGCAUAUUCUGCAGUUGGUAGAACUCGAUGUCAGCAAAAGGAAGGACUCUCCACCUUCAGGUCCUUGAACUUCCCCAUGUGGAGGCCAGGUGGUUGAGUUCCUGAAGAAUGUACAAUGGGAAAUGGGGGUUACAUUUUGGUGAGAACAGUUCAUGGUACCAAUGGAGUGUAAAAUAUCCUGUUUCUGCCUAGGAGGAAUUUACCCUUGAUUGUUCUGCAGGCCAAGGCUGUGAAUGAGCAAAGGCCAGUGUGUGCUUCUGCCUUUCACUAGACAAAAUUUAUUUCAAGUACUUUAUAAUAAAAAGUCCAAGGUCA